CAGCGAGAGCCAUUUCAGCGUGCUCUUUGGUGUGCAGGAGCUGCGGGGAGUUUGACCUGUACUACUACGACGGCCUAGCCAAUCAGCAGGAGGAAAUCUGCCUAACUGUCUCUUUAGGUACCACAGGAAUAUCUGCUGGCUGCCAAGGUAUCGACACUGAUCUCAUUCCUCCUCUUGAACACUGUAUACGGACCAAAUGGAAAGAUGCCAUUGUCAAUUGGAAUGACACCGAGCCCAUACUUUGACUGGCUAGUGGAUAGAAGGUGAUGUGUAGAUGAGACUGGGACGACCCCAUGGCUGGAGACACAAAAUAUACUGCUUUCUUAUUGCAAAAUAUGCCCUUAAGCAAACACUUUUAUCCAAAGCGAAUUAUAGUCAUGCAUGCAUGCAUACAUUACAGAUUAAAUAGAAUUUUACCCAGUAGCGGUGCAUGGGUAAAAUCACUGGGGAAGCCAAGCCCCCCCCACCCAAAAGCCAUAUUAUAACCUAC
rnacentral:lncRNA from 1 species